rnacentral:tRNA from 1 species
GGCCAAGAGGUUGGUGAAACCUGGUAAGAUAGCGGGCUUUGGACCCGCUCACGUCGGUUCGAAUCCGACCGGGGCUA